CCUACGGGAGGCAGCAGUGAGGAAUAUUGGUCAAUGGGCGCGAGCCUGAACCAGCCAAGUAGCAUGAAGGAUGACAGCCCUACGGGUUGUAAACUUCUUUUAUAAAGGAAUAAAGUGAGGCACGUGUGCCUUUUUGUAUGUACUUUAUAAAUAAGGAUCGGCUAACUCCGUGCCAGCAGCCGCGGUAAUACGGAGGAUCCGAUCGUUAUCCGGAUUUAUGGGGUUUAAAGGAAGCGUGAAUGGGUUGUUAAGUAAGUUGUGAAAGGUUGCGGCUCAACCGUAAAAUUGCAAUUGAUACUGGCAGUCUUGAGUACAGUUGAGGUAGGCGGAAUUCGUGGUGUAGCGGUGACAUGCUUAGAUAUCACGAAGAACUCCGAUUGCGAAGGCAGCUUACUAAACUGCCACUGACAUUGAUGCUCGAAAGUGUGGGUAUCAAACAGGAUUAGAUACCCCGGUAGUA
rnacentral:rRNA from 1 species